AAGAUGACAAUAAAUUGUAUUUAACUCACUUUGCUGCAUCAGGUAGCCACCAUCAUUUGCCCUGUUUCUCAGCUCAGCUAUGGCAUUUUGUUCCCGUUGCCCUAAGGAAAGAAUUGAUUCAUUUUGUGAGACAUACCGGAAAUGCAGUUUCAGAUCACUGGUAAUCUGCACAUCCUGUAUGUUUCUGUGCUCCUGAUUGCGGAUUCCAAUUUCGUUUUCCGCGAAGUUACGCCUCUCCUUUAUUGGAAUCGCUUUGAUGAGCUUAUAUAUAACUUCGACAAGAAGAUUUUCUGUUGUGAAAAGGCAUAAUUAUUAUUUAUUUCAAAUUGAUAUUUUUUAAUUUUAUCAUAUUUCCUAGGUUGCUAGGCGAUAAAAAAAUAUGCAGAUAUUGUACUGAACAGGUUCAAACAUACCGUAAUAACUUGCUAGUCAAUAAAAAAGGUUCAAAAGUAAUGGAAGUAGAUUUUGGGAUUAUACUGCAAAUGGGAAUGGAUAUAUAUAUAUAUACUUCUUACUACAUGAUUAUGAAUGAAAGAUAAUGGGAUUAAAUUCAGUCAUCAACUGAAUGGAAUUAUCCAGUGUUUGUUAUGCUUCUCUGGUUCUCAAGAAGAUAGAGGCUUAAUGCGACAGGUCAUGGAAUGUUCAUUCCUGUCUCGAAGAAAAUCACCAUAAGUGCAAAUAUGUUACUGCAGCUAUGCUAGACUGAAAAUUGAAUCAUCGAGGCUUACUAAGAAUUGCUUAUGGUUAAAACAGACUGGAGACUACACUAGCUGCCUCCCUCAAAAAGGCUGCUCUCUAAAUUAAUUCAAUGAUGAUGAAAUUCAUUAUCGAAUUAAACAAUAUAAAUAAUUUCACAUAUUAUUGCAGAUUGGAUUUCAACAUUCCAUUGAAUGAUUCAUGUCUUUAAAAUGGAAGGGAUAAAACAUCUUCCUCAAGAUUGCGAUGUCAAUAUUUCUUAUCCAUGGAACCUAACCCACUCCUGUUUUAAUAGUUAAAAGGAUUGCGCUCAAAAAUUUCAUAUGAUAAGGAUUCACAGCCCCCCCCCCCCCCCUCUUUUCAAGUUCAAUUGUUUUCGAGAGCAUGACCAGAAUUUAUUCUCCCUAUGUCACAAAUUUCCUUCGAUUUACCGUAUGUGUUUCUCUUGACUUGGAGGACGACCGAUAAAAAAAAUUUGACCUCGCGUGGAUAAAGGUGUUUUUUCCUAAUCGUCAGCGAUGAGAUGGUUAAGACCAAGGAGUGAAUACGCAACCCAAAAUUCCUAAAUUGAAAUGACCAAAAAAACGAAACAUAAAUAAAUUUUGUUUUCGAGGCCCGCGAUAGACAGACGAGUCUUCAUUAAACAUAUAAAUUGCAAAAUCUCGUGUUCCUAUGACACACAUGAUGAUUAGGUUGCCUUUCGAAGCCAUGUCGCAGCCAUUUGGGUCGACAUCGCCCCAUCGCGUACGACGUGGCUCACUUCGUUCAAGUCGCCGACCCAUUUCGCAUGGUGUGAUUAUUUAAACCGCGAACACCGUACUGGGUGGUCAGUAAAAUGUAUUUCCGCAGAUUCUUCCGAGUCUCACAAGUAACCUUCGUCACAUUUACUUCUCCUGCCACGGGGACUUCGAUAAUAAUUUUUUAGACAUUGUAAAUUGACAAAAUUUGGAGUAAACAUUAUGCAGGGUUUGAAACUAUAAAAUUGUUAUAGAAAUUGAACCAGUCAAUUGUGCGCUCGAUGUACCUACUCAUCCAUCCUAUUGAAUUAACGAUCAAUCCAUUAUUACUUGUACUAAAAUUAAUUUUACAUUCGGGCAUUUUAUCAUAAAUUUUGGUAAUUUUUUAAAGGUGAUAUGGAUAUCUCAAAAUGAUAAACAUAAGUGACCGACCGUCAGUGUUAAAUGCUACCUAAUUUUAUCGCAAAAACACCAAUCCGAACUAAUUAUAUUCGGGCAGUUCAGCACUCCUUUUAUUACUGCAGAGUGCCGUGGUAUUUCGAAUUAAUAAUGCCUUUCUUAAUGUCGUAAAUCGAUCGCGUUACUCCGAGCACAAUUUUUUUAGGGAAUAUGUUCAUGUCCGCCUUAGUUUGAAUAUUUCACGCUAUAGAAAAUAAUUACCCGUUAAAAAAGUCUGCUCUUUUAACGAAUGCCGUGAUGCAAUUUCAAAAGACGUUACUUGGAAAUUUCCGAUUUUGAACCGAUUCCUAUUUGCAAGUACUUCUAAUGGGCGUACCAUAAUCAUCUUUGCGUGUGUUAGCGCUAACCUGCACCUGAACGUCACCAUGACUAAUAAAACCCGCCAAAAUAUACGGACUGUCGUACAAAUUGCGCAGACGAUUUAACGAAGUCGAGCAGACGAUCGUAUACAAAGUCAUAUUAUCUCUAGUUUUUUGUCUAGCGUUUCGACGUUCAUAAUUUUACAGAGAUCGCUCGAGUUCGUCGAUGCAGACGCCAUUUCGAGCGAUGUGGCUACAUUUUGCCGAGCCAUAUGCGUCGCAGUGACGUGAUUAUUGAAAUACAUAAGUCAGGUGGGGUUAUGACUUAAAAAGGUACGAAAAUCCUGGCUGAACUCCAACGGGAAUGUACACGGUAAUCAUAUGCGCCAUGACAGGCAUAUUAAGAUGCGCCAGCCACAGGGCCAUACAUGCUCAGAACCUUUCAUCAUCUCAAAAGAAUACCUGUCUUAGAUGCGUCGUGAUAACUUGCAACCUAGUCAUCAACGAAAACACUUUCUGCGUGCUUCAUUUAUCCAAGUUAUUUAAACUGUUGUACCAGGUUAGCAACCAGGGAAAUCCCCUGGUAAAUAAGUGCUCACAUGAUAGAACAUGCCCAUUAUACACCCCCGGCAUUUACACACAAACAGUAGGAUUAAUACAUAAGAACAUUUACCCCAAAAGUGGUAUUAGCGAAUAAAACUGUUACAAAUAUCAGACAAUUGCAAUAAGCAUGUCUACUCAAUUCUUUAUUAGCAUUCUGAUUUGGGAUAAAUAUCUACAAUGACCUAUUUAGGUGAUUUUAUGAGAAAUGAGUGGUGGUUUUUCAUAAACUUUUUUAUUUCCGAACACUAUUAAGUUGUAUUAUUUUUUCCCCUAAAUUUCUUCACUAUUUUCUAUGCAUGCCUAAUAUAUUCUAUCGGGAUAAUUUAAAUUUACUGUGGGAAUGUAUCCAUUCUGAAAAUAUGGCAUGCUCUUUUAUAUUGUCAAUUUAGUUCUUUAGAAAUCAAUUUUAAUUUCAUGUUUAUGUUUUCAUUUACGUUGAACAAUAGAAAAUUUCAAACUAAAU